rfam:Chaetomium globosum CBS 148.51 scaffold_2 genomic scaffold, whole genome shotgun sequence.
GGGCCUGUGGUGCAGUGGUUAGCAUACUUGCUUUGGGAUAACAUUCCUCUCUGCAAGUGGUCCCAGGUUCGAACCCUGGCUGGCCCC